rnacentral:rRNA from 1 species
GAGUUUGAUCCUGGCUCAGAUUGAACGCUGGCGGUAUGCUUAAGACAUGCAAGUCGUGCGGUAGAAGGCUUCGGCCUUUGAGAGCGGCGGACGGGUGAGUAACACGUGGGAAUCUACCUAUUAGUGGGGGACAGCCCAGCGAAAGCUGGAUUAAUACCGCAUACGCCCUACGGGGGAAAGCAGCAAUGCGCUAAUAGAUGAGCCCGCGUAAGAUUAGCUAGUUGGUAAGGUAAAGGCUUACCAAGGCGACGAUCUUUAGCUGGUCUGAGAGGAUGGCCAGCCACAUCGGGACUGAGACACGGCCCGGACUCCUACGGGAGGCAGCAGUCGGGAAUAUUGGACAAUGGGCGCAAGCCUGAUCCAGCAAUACCGCGUGUGUGAAGAAGGCCUGCGGGUUGUAAAGCACUUUCAGUUGGGAAGAUAAUGACGUUACCAACAGAAGAAGCACCGGCUAACUCCGUGCCAGCAGCCGCGGUAAUACGGAGGGUGCAAGCGUUAAUCGGAAUUACUGGGCGUAAAGCGUGCGUAGGCGGCCUGUUAAGUCAGAUGUGAAAGCCCCGGGCUUAACCUGGGAACUGCAUCUGAUACUGGGAGGCUAGAAUGUGGGAGAGGAGAGUGGAAUUUCCGGUGUAGCGGUGAAAUGCAUAGAGAUCGGAAGGAACACCAGUGGCGAAGGCGGCUCUCUGGACCAACAUUGACGCUGAGGCACGAAAGCGUGGGUAGCAAACAGGAUUAGAUACCCUGGUAGUCCACGCCGUAAACGAUGUCCACUAGCCGCCGGCCUCACUCUAGAGGUCGGUGGUGCAGCUAACGCAUUAAGUUGACCGCCUGGGGAGUACGGCCGCAAGGUUGAA